UCUUAUUUUGCAAUCAGAAGCCAUUCCUACAAGUGGGUGUUGCUUUCGAGAAUAAAAGCACCGUGAGAUCAAAUGUUUGAGGUGUCACAAUAGCCUAAAAAUAUUGUAUCCAAGUCACUGUUGUGCUUGAUGUAGCCAUGGACCAAAGUAAAAGAGGAAACCCGUCAAUCUGCUUUUGGUCCCACGGAUCCACUUUUGCAUGCAUGUUUCCUUGAGUUUUCCUCACCAAAAUCACUUCAGUUCUUCUGGCAGCUUUUAGACAAGUCAUGUUUUGAUUUCUGGGCGUUAGUGACAGCAGGCAUUCCGAUAAACAAGAAACUGAAGAAA